AUAGUUUCUUCGGCAUCUUGUUGAGCUCAGCAAUAUUUGUAGCUAACUUCUCGUUAAUUUGCUUGACAACUUCCGGCAUGCAUCUUGCUAUGCUACCUGUAACAAGAUUGACAAAUAACAUCAGGUCCCAUUUGGUAAUAGUUUUUAGUUUAUGAAAAUCUAUGAACACCCUUUUCACAUUUAAAGUUCUAUGUUUUCAAAACCAAGUCAAAUUUUGAAAACUAAAAAAUAUUAAAACUUUUUUUGUUUUUGGAACUUAGUUAAGAAUUAGACUCUUUUAUUUAAGAAUGAUGAAAAUCAUGGUACAAAAUCUAGAGAAAAUAAACUUAAUUUUCAAAAACCAAAAAACAAAAACAAAAUGGUUAUCUAAUAGAAACUAAGCUUUUGAGUGAGUUAUUAGUUUGGAUACCUGCUUGAAUUUGCACCAACUUCUGAGCCAAAACUGGAAUGCCCACAACAGAUUUGUCAAUCUUGGAAAGAAGAGGAUGAGUUGAAAACAGUUUGGCUUCUGCAACUCGAGCUUCCUCAUACGUCUCAUUGUCAAUUCGGUUCCUAACGCAAACAUAACCAAGGCCGAUAUUGACGUCGUCCGCAGUGACCUUCUCGUGU
rnacentral:lncRNA from 1 species